rnacentral:rRNA from 1 species
GACGAACGCUGGCGGCGUGCUUAACACAUGCAAGUCGAACGGAAAGGCCCUGCUUUUGUGGGGUGCUCGAGUGGCGAACGGGUGAGUAACACGUGAGUAACCUGCCCUUGACUUUGGGAUAACUUCAGGAAACUGGGGCUAAUACCGGAUAGGAGCUCCUGCUGCAUGGUGGGGGUUGGAAAGUUUCGGCGGUUGGGGAUGGACUCGCGGCUUAUCAGCUUGUUGGUGGGGUAGUGGCUUACCAAGGCUUUGACGGGUAGCCGGCCUGAGAGGGUGACCGGCCACAUUGGGACUGAGAUACGGCCCAGACUCCUACGGGAGGCAGCAGUGGGGAAUAUUGCACAAUGGGCGGAAGCCUGAUGCAGCAACGCCGCGUGCGGGAUGACGGCCUUCGGGUUGUAAACCGCUUUCGCCUGUGACGAAGCGUGAGUGACGGUAAUGGGUAAAGAAGCACCGGCUAACUACGUGCCAGCAGCCGCGGUGAUACGUAGGGUGCGAGCGUUGUCCGGAUUUAUUGGGCGUAAAGGGCUCGUAGGUGGUUGAUCGCGUCGGAAGUGUAAUCUUGGGGCUUAACCCUGAGCGUGCUUUCGAUACGGGUUGACUUGAGGAAGGUAGGGGAGAAUGGAGUUCCUGGUGGAGCGGUGGAAUGCGCAGAUAUCAGGAGGAACACCAGUGGCGAAGGCGGUUCUCUGGGCCUUUCCUGACGCUGAGGAGCGAAAGCGUGGGGAGCGAACAGGCUUAGAUACCCUGGUAGUCCACGCUGUAAACGGUGGGUACUAGGUGUGGGGUCCAUUCCACGGGUUCCGUGCCGUAGCUAACGCUUUAAGUACCCCGCCUGGGGAGUACGGCCGCAAGGCUAAAACUCAAAGGAAUUGACGGGGCCCCGCACAAGCGGCGGAGCAUGCGGAUUAAUUCGAUGCAACGCGUAGAACCUUACCUGGGUUUGACAUGGAUCGGGAGCGCUCAGAGAUGGGUGUGCCUCUUUUGGGGUCGGUUCACAGGUGGUGCAUGGCUGUCGUCAGCUCGUGUCGUGAGAUGUUGGGUUAAGUCCCGCAACGAGCGCAACCCUUGUUCACUGUUGCCAGCACGUUAUGGUGGGGACUCAGUGGAGACCGCCGGGGUCAACUCGGAGGAAGGUGGGGAUGACGUCAAGUCAUCAUGCCCCUUAUGUCCAGGGCUUCACGCAUGCUACAAUGGCUGGUACAGAGAGUGGCGAGCCUGUGAGGGUGAGCGAAUCUCGGAAAGCCGGUCUCAGUUCGGAUUGGGGUCUGCAACUCGACCUCAUGAAGUCGGAGUCGCUAGUAAUCGCAGAUCAGCAACGCUGCGGUGAAUACGUUCCCGGG